CAAAUUAGCUAUGCUUUUUGCUAUACUGUUAGAACGACGACGGAGCAUCUAAUUAAAAAAAGUUACCGGUCGUCAAGAUGACAUCAUGCAGGAGACUGACAAGAACUAAUGUCAAACACGUAACGAUGACACCGCAAUCGAAAUUCGAAAAGUAAUAAUAGACGUGGCACGUGUUUGUUCUCGUGAUCAAAGAAUUGUAUAGAGCAAGGGGAAAACGAGCUCAUCUGACAAGUGAUACCGAUAGACACUCGCAUUGCCAGAGGGCUUGCAAAUGCGUUGCCGGCUUUUUAAGAGUCGGUGUGGCCUUUUCCUUGAAAGUGCGAGGCAAAAACUGCGUUAAAAAACGCUCAGUUGUGGAACGACGGACAUCGAGGUAAUACGGAUGGAACUUCGUAUUCUGACUCGACGUCCGAUGAUGAAACUCAGCUGCAGGUAUUAAUCCGAACAACUCAACAACUCUGAACAGUCUCCGAUUGCGAUUCAACCAUUCUUCAAGCUAUGCUUAUAAAUAUUCUCGAUCUAUACACCUAAAAUAAAGGAAAAAAUCUAAAAAGUUCUUAACCUUGUAACAACGAGGAAGUCGAUUUCAAAGACGCAAAUAUAAUUGUUUCAAAUGUUACAUACUAAAUUGUUCGUUCUACGUAUUUACGACAAAGUACUUAAAAUUACAAUGGCGACACAAAAAAGUUUCGGAAUACAAAUUUACAAUGUUGUUUUUAUACUUGUAUCGCAUUUUUAAUGAAAUAUUGUCAGCCAUAAUAAUAAUAUGUAAAUUUAAUCUCGAAUAAAUGAAAGACUUAACGGAAGCACGUACUAGUGAAAGACUUUUUUUUAGCUACCAUUUGGAUCUGUAGUGAACUUAUUUUAGUUUUAAUCUUUACUAAAACUCACCGUUAACUUGUAUUGAUCGAGUCUAUGGGUAAGGAUGAUUUUCCCAAAACGAGAAUUAGCACUAAGUCUCUUACGUCAAAAAUGUAUUGAAUUUUUAUAUACGCAAGGCAUAGUCUGAUCGGUCUAGUUUCUGACCAUCACCAGGGUGGAAAAUAUGAAGAUAAUUCAGAGUGGAGCUAAGUAUAUCUUUCGUAUGUCAAAAAUGUAUUGCGUCUUAAGUCUCGUUUUACAAUCUUACUCUAAGUACGACUGAUAAUAUUGAGAUGAUUAAUAGUUACAUUUUUUGGCAAUUAGUGAGCCUAAAUGGAAUAUUUUCUAAAUAUAUUAAGUAGUAGAAUAACAUUAAAACAUAUAGCCUAAAGUUUACUAAACUUGAGAAUGCGAAAGACAACAUUUGAAAUACGACUUUUGUUAUAUAAAUCGUAGUACUUGUUUUGUCUAAGUUUUCAUAUCACGCCAAAAUCACUUGUAUUUUACCAGGUUGCUAAAUUUAAUUUUCCUACAUAAUUUACAAUCGAGCUGACACUGAACUAGUAAAUCAAUCAUGUUAAUGAUAAUAAUAGCACUAAU